UACGGAGGGAGCUAGCGUUGUUCGGAAUUACUGGGCGUAAAGCGCACGUAGGCGGCUUUGUAAGUUAGAGGUGAAAGCCCGGGGCUCAACCCCGGAAUUGCCUUUAAGACUGCAUCGCUUGAAUCCGGGAGAGGUGAGUGGAAUUCCGAGUGUAGAGGUGAAAUUCGUAGAUAUUCGGAAGAACACCAGUGGCGAAGGCGGCUCACUGGACCGGUAUUGACGCUGAGGUGCGAGAGCGUGGGGAGCAAACAGG
rnacentral:rRNA from 1 species